AUGGAGCAGAAGAAAGAGACGGUGACGACGACGACGAGGGAGGAAGCGAAAGAGAGACUAUCAUAUGUUUAGAGAAUCUCUACUUUUUGCGCGCUCUGGAAUCCACCGUCACUCUCCCUUCUCAACGCAAGGCCAUCUUCAGCGACCUUCUCUCAAGAGACGUUGCUCUUUUCUUAGAACGAUACGGGUCCAAACUCGCGUGCAGUGAGCUUAACGAAUUCGAUUCGAUGAAAGACGGUUAUGAGGUUAAUUGGCACGUGAAGCGGUUAAGGAGCAUAAUUAGUCCGACGUCGGAGGAGCUGAGGAUGCGGCCAGUGACGGUGAAGAAUCGGAGGCGCGCCUGCUUGGACAAACUGCUGUGCCAAGGGCAUUACUUCUCCGAGGAUGCAAUGAGGGAGAGAGAGCCGUAUCUGCAUCAUGAGUACGUGGGGAGGUUUCAGGACCAGAGUUGCAGACGCAUGGCGAGGCCGGGGGAGCGGUGGUCCGAGACACUGAUGAGGAGGUGUGAUGAGACGGAGCUGGUUGUGAAGAUUAGAGGGGGAGCAGCAGAGGAUGGGCGUGCCGUAGAGGGACUGGGUUGGUAAUGAGGGACUUCAAGAAUAAGAAGAGGAGGAGGAGGAAGACAAAGAAGAGGAAACUCAAGAGGAGGUGGAAGUGGAUGAAGACAGGAGAAGAAAUAGUAGCAAUGGACAACCCUGUAGAGGGACUUGGGACACACCCAACAUUCGCCUGAAUGAGGAAUUCCAUAAAGCAACCUGGCAGAACAAUUUAAGAACAAGACACCUGAAUGAGGGUGAUCCAGGCAGAGUGAGUGAGGAGAAUCAACUUUAUCUGCAGAAGAACUGGAGGACCGGAUGAAUCAGUUCACCUACAUUAUGCAGCAGAAGUUUCUAUUAGGGAAAGAUCACGAACAUCUUGAUUACACUAAAAUAGAUAAUGACGAGGCCCUUGACGAUAUUUUGCUGAUGACUGAACAAACUGAACUAUGGCAUCAUACUGGGUAAUGGGGAUUCAGAUUCGCCUUUGUCCAUAUUGAAAUCUACAUUGUACGUAAAUAAGUUACAGGUGUAUAUUCUUAAUAUAAAGUUUCUUUAAUUUCUUUGUAGAAUAUGAUUAUUGAUUGUGAUAGGAACUCGGAAGCUUGGCAUGGGUCGCUUCUUGCAUUUUCCGCAAUUACUCGGUUUUUAUUUUUGCAAUAAGAAAAAAAAAUCGGUUGUGACUA